ACUAUACUGACUUCCCCCAGAACAGGGUGACAAUUACUUUCUGUUUGAGGUAAUUCUCAAGUUUCUACCACAAGUGGUGGAGAAUUCUUACCUCUGCAUCCUCGAACUGUUUCCUGUUCAGAUGAGGUAGCGAACCUCCACUCCACAUUCUACACAUGCACACAUUUUACGGAACUCAAGUACGUACAGGAGACACGUUGCCCUUUUCUCAUUUUUAUAGACUAAUUUGUCUACUCGAUAGGGACUAGUAUUCUUGAGGUUUGGUUCUGCCGCAGUUACCCAGAUGCGCAUUCACUCAUUCCUCAAGAGUGUGUGAGUUUCUUACUCACCAGAGAUGUCUUCACUUCCUUCGGCUUCUCAUCAUCGCUCAGCCUUCAGACGCAAAGUCGAGGCCCAGUCCAGGAAAGAGUGUCAAGUGCCAUGGCCACGGUCUUUGCCUGGACGUCGACUCAGCCCCCGGAAACCUCAGCUUCCAGGAAAGAAAGACCUCUUUAUUGAAGCAGACUUGAUGAGCCCUUUGGAUCGGAUCGCCAACGUUUCCAUUCUGAAGCAACAUGAUGUUGACAAACUAUACAAAGUAGAAUAUAAAUCCAUAAUUAGCACAUCAGAUCAGCUCUGUUUUCUGAUACGACCAAGAAUAAGAACCGUGACGUGGAUAUGUGGUGUGGUAAAUGCAGACAAAGCAGCAGGGAAAUUUAGAAGAUACAAAAUUAUAUUUGCCCCUCAGAAGUUUUAUGCAUGUGAGACAGUGCUGGAAGAGAAGGGUGUCUUUGGAAACGUUUCAAUGGAUGAAUGGGCCUUCCAUCUACUUCCGUUGGAUGAUGACAUCAUCAGUCUGGAACUUCCAGAGUUUUUUCGGGACAACUAUCUGGCUGGAGACUUGCGUUGGGUAAGGACAGCUGGCAGUGCUCUUCAUCUCCUUCAGUCCAUUUACGGACCAUUUUCAAAGGUUUAUGGCAUUGGAAGGUGUUCUAAGAUGGCGUACGAGUCUUGGAAAGAGCAAGCAAAAGAGGAAGAGCAAAAUAAUCAGAACUCUGAAAUAGGAAAUGUUUUCUUACUUGAUAGGGAUGUGGACUUGGUCACCCCUAUGUGCUCACAAGUGGUUUACGAAGGACUUGUGGAUGAUAUCUUUAGAAUCAAAUGUGGAUGCGUAGAAUUUGGGCCUGAUGUUUCAUCCUCAGACAAUAGCAUCAAAGUCAUGCUGAAUUCUCAGGAUAAGGUCUUCAAUGAAAUCAGAAAUGAACAUUUCUCCAAUGUCUUUAGCUUUCUCAGUCAGAAAGCCAGGAAUCUCCAGGUUGCAUAUGAUAAGCGUCGAGGAAUGGACAUAAAGCAGAUGAAAACGUUCGUGUCUGAGGAGCUUAAAGGGUUGAAACAAGAACAUCGGCUCCUAAGUCUCCACAUCAGCGCAAGUGAAUCAAUCAUGAAGAAGAAAACAAAACAAGAUUUCCAGGAGCUGUUAAAGACAGAACAUUCUUUACUCGAAGGUUUUGAAAUCCGGGAAUGUAUUUCUUUCAUUGAGGUACAUAUCAACAGGCAGGUCUCCAUGACAGAAAGUCUUCGACUGCUUUGUCUUCUGUCUUUAACAGAAAAUGGACUCCUGCCAAAAGAGUACCGAUCUUUAAAAACACAGUUUUUACAGAGCUAUGGAGUGGAGCACCUGCUCACAUUUGCCAACCUCAAGCAAUUAGGGCUGUUUGUGGAACAACAGCAAGGUGAAACCCUGGCAGUUAUGGAGAACAAAGUGGGUAAACUGGUCAACGAUAAGACAGCAGGGAAGCUGACAGAUGCCUUUUCCUCUUUGGCAAGGAAAAACAAUUUCCGGGCCCUGAGCAGAAAACUCAAUUUGGUGCCAAAGUCCAAUGACGAGUAUGAUUUGCAUCUCCCAAAGGACAUGGCUUAUGUUUUCAGUGGGGCCUACAUCCCACUCAGCUGCAAACUCAUUGAGCAGGUGUUAGAACGAGAUGGUUGGGCUGGGCUUGAAGAAGUUGCCAAGUUGCUGAAUGGAAAUGAGUUCGCUGUCAGCGGAAAAAACAGAGCAAAUAAUGAGGCACAACGUGUCAUCGUUGUCAUGUUCCUUGGGGGAUGCACCUUCUCUGAGAUUUCAGCUUUACGUUUUCUUGGUAAAGAAAGAGGUUAUAAAUUUAUUGUGGUUACGACCGCAAUUACAAGCAGUUCAAGACUGUUGGAAGCCUUCCUGUGUAACCAUGUAUGAUGGCUGUCAGCUCACCAUGAUGGACAUCGCAGACAUUCCUUUCACCUGUCUACUAACUCUAUGUUUGCACACACUGCAGGAGAGAUUUUGGCCCAAAUCCUGUCGUGGAGUCCUGGGCUGAUUCCUCACAUUUCUAAGGAUCAUUGAGACCCCACGAGGAGAUGUCUUGCAUGGGGAUCCACUCCCAUUGAGAUUGACCGCCAUGUUUAGCUUCUUCCAUUUUCUAAUGAUUGCUCCAACAGUGGACCUUUUUUCACCAAGCUGAUUGGCAAUUUCUCCGGAGCCCUUUCAGCUGCGUGAAGUUGUAUAAUUUUGUCUUUGGUGUCUCUGGACACCUCUUUGGUCUUGGCCGUGUUACAAGUUAGAGUCUUACUGAUUGUAUGGGGUGGACAGGUGUCAUUAUGCAGUUAACGACCUCACACAGGUGCAUCUGAUUCAGGAUAAUACUUGGAGUGGAGGUGGACCUUUAAAGGCGGACUAACUGGUCUUUGAGGGUCAGAAUUCUACCUGAUAGACAGGUGUUCAAAUACGUAUUUGCAGCUGUAUCACACAAAUAAGUCGUUAAAAAAAUUAUACAUUGUGGUUUCUGAAUUUUUCUUUUUAGAUUCUCUCUCUCUCACAGUGGACAUGCACCUACGAUGAAAAUUUAAGACCCCUCCAUGAUUUCUAAGUGGGAGAACUUGCAAUAUAGCAGGGUGUUAAAAUACUUAUUUUCUCCACUGUACAAAGUUAUAGUACAUAUUUGUUUGUUUACAUAUAACUUUCCAACGACAUACAGACACCUAAUCACACAAACACGUUUUUGCUUACCCCCACCCUUUAGAUUUGUCACCAUUGGGAGGGACUUCCUAAAUCUAAUAAAAAGGUUUCGAGGAAGGCUGCUUUAGAACAUAUUCAAGAAUUGUACCUUGCAGUUCUUCUUCUUUCUCCUUGAGCUCAAGAAACAAAACAGGUGUCUUCUCUCCUUAUUACUUGGUAUUUAACAAAUGUCGAAUAGGAUUUACCUGACACAAAGUGAGAAAAAAAAAGUAUUGCUUGGUCAUAAUAGAUGCAUUAUCAAAAUGGAUAGAACUUUUUCCAACAGAGCAUCCCGAUGUCAGCAGGACACCACAUUUGUGGAACCAGGAGACUGGAUCCUGGUGAGGAGCAUAAGGAAGCACUGGUAUUUGCCUAAUUUGGAAUGUCCAUUUCAGGUUUUGUUGACAACACUCACAGCUGUAAAAAUAGGUUGACUUGGAUUCAUUUGGCACAUCCCAAAAAGGUCACUUCAGCCUAGGAUCCGAUUGGGGAGGUGAGCUAAAGACUGGCAACAAGAAGGGAGUUAACUCCGAGGAGAACAACAAUGGCCCCGGAGAAGACGUCUCCCCUGCGUCUCCCGGCCACAGUCAGUUUCUCUGGUCGACGCCCCUUCUGACACGGAAGCUCCUUUCGAAGAAGAGAAAAUCUCACAAUCGAGUGAAGUGACCGGGGCAAUAUUAGCCUAUCAUAUCAGGCCAUAUUUAGAUGAUAUGCGGAUCACUUCUAAC